GCGCCCGUAGCUCAGUUGGAUAGAGCAUCGCCCUUCUAAGGCGAGGGUCGCUGGUUCGAUUCCAGCCGGGCGCACCA
rnacentral:tRNA from 3 species